AUUGAACGCUGGCGGCAGGCCUAACACAUGCAAGUCGAACGAGUGGCGGACGGGUGAGUAAUGUCUGGGAAACUGCCCGAUGGAGGGGGAUAACUACUGGAAACGGUAGCUAAUACGGCAUCCCGUCGGAUGUGCCCAGUUGGGAUUAGCUAGUAGGUGGGGUAACGGCUCACCUAGGCGACGAUCCCGAGCUGGUCUGAGAGGAUGACCAGCCACACUGGAACUGAGACACGGUCCAGACUCCUACGGGAGGCAGCAGUGGGGAAUAUUGCACAAUGGGCGCAAGCCUGAUGCAGCCAUGCCGCGUGUAUGAAGAAGGCCUUCGGGUUGUAAAGUACUUUCAGCGAGGAGGCGUUACUCGCAGAAGAAGCACCGGCUAACUCCGUGCCAGCAGCCGCGGUAAUUC
rnacentral:rRNA from 1 species